ensembl:lncRNA
AUUCUAUGUGUAAAGGACUUAGGAUAUAGUGCCUAGUUCUGGUCAUCAAAUACAGCUAAGUUAUUCUAUUAAUGUGCAUAGUUAUCUUUUUUUUAGAGGAAGCUGGUCUCAAGUUCUGAGUCCUUGACAAUAUCUAACUAAAAUCUUUAACAAUUCAUCAAAUUUACUAAUUGGUUAUUCAUACUACUGAUAAAACAUUUGCUUAAUUUUUAAUUUUUUUUAACCACACCUCGUGGCAGUUCCCGGGCCAGGCAUUGAACCCAUGCCACAGCAGUGACCAUGCUGGAUCUUUAACCACUGAGCCACCAGGAAACUCCUAAAACAUGUGCUUUAAAAAUGAAUGCAGGAGUUCCCAUCAUGGCACAGCGGAAACGAAUCCGACUAGGAACCAUGAGGUUGUGGGUUCGAUCCCUGGCCUCGCUCAGUGGGUUAAGGAUCUGGCGUUGCCGUGAGCUGUGGUGUAGCCAAAUCCAACGGCUCGGAUUUGGCAUUGCUGUGGCUGUGGUGUAGGCCAGUAGCCAAAGCUCCGAUUAGACCCCUAGCCUGGGAAGAAGCUCCAUAAGCCACGGGUGCAGCCCUAAAAAGCAAAGUAAAAACAAAACAACAACAAAAAAAUGAGUGCAUUUAGAAAGAAAUACUUCCAAUGUAUUAAAAAUUUGUUAAGUGAAUAAGUGCAGGUGGUAUAUAGAUAUGGAAAGAAUAGUGACUAAAUGGCAAAAAUAAUGAAGAUAAUAGGUGAGCAUCUGCAUUAUAUAAUGGAGGGGACCAGUCUAAUGCCACCUACAAGGAGACCAGGCAAUUUCCCUGUAAGUCUGAAAGCCUCCCCCACAACUCCCUGCCACAAAAGCUUUAGGAACCAUUUCCCCCAGUUAUAUCCCCCAGUUAUAAAAUUUCUAAUUUCCAAUAUGGCUAGAAAACUGUAUUAAAAGACUACAGAAGAAUGAUUAUUAUUCGAAAAUGAGUAUUUCUUAAAUUUGAAAUUUAAACUAAGUUCUGCAUGCUUACAUAUUCCAGUGUGGCUGAACUUUUCCUAUAAAUCCAACCAAAUCCAACUGAAAUCUGAAUGGGAAAAUUCGAUUUGUGAAAACGUUAAUGCAGUUUAGGAAGAAGCCCUUUUAGGUAUAACACUUUUUCUGUGAAUAUUUUACCGAAGCCAGACGGAAAAAGUAAAUUCACGUGUGUCACUCAUCAGAAAUCAAAGCAAAGUCUCGAUAACCGAUUUGGUACAUGUCAAACAGAACAAAUUGAUUGGAUUCAUUUUACAGUCACUCAGGCCUUGAGAAAUCACGGCAUGAAAUUAAGUUGGGUACAGGCCACGUGCUCAGUGAGUGUCCGGGGGUAGACGUCAUGCCUGGCAACCCAACGUUACAGUCAGUCUUUUCUCCUGCUCUAAAAAGCAUGUUGAGAUGGCAGAUGAACUUAGUGGAAAUUCUCCCAGCAGAGCAAAGUGGGAGAAACUGUUUUGUUUUUAAAAAGAACCACAGAGAAUUAUUUAAAAUCACUGGAGGAGUUCCUGUCGUGGCACAGUGGAAAUGAAUCUGACUAGUAUCCAUGAGGACACAGGUUUGAUACCUGGCCUCGUGCAAUGGGUUAAGGAUCCGGCAUUGCUGUGAGCUGUAGUGUAGGUUACAGGCAUGGCUCGGAUCCUGUGUUGCUGUGGCUGUGGUGUAGGCUGGCAGCUACAGCUCCAAUUCGACCCCUAGCUUGGGAACCUCCAUAUGCCGCAGGUGUGACCCUAAAUAAAUAAAUAAAUAAAUUCAAAUGCAGAAAUAGUCAUUUAAGAAAAAUCUAUUGUAUGUAAGCUCAGCCAGUGUCUGUAACCUUUGAGCCACGACCUCCUUCACUGCUCCUCCUCCGUGUUCCAGAAGUGCUUCCCUGGGCCCUCUGUUCAGCACAGAUGCGGCCAAGAAGAUGGAGAUUCUCUCCCCUCCAUUCCCUGUCUGGAGCUAUGGUUUCUCCUUGGGAGACACAGGCUGCUGGUGUCUCUCAUCCUCCCCAGCACUUUAUUGCAGGAACUCUCUUCCAGGCAAGAGUGGCUGAGAGACGGGGGCAGGACAGACCAAGAGUUCUGGGAGCUCUGCUGUUCCCACCCCAGCUCUCAGGUCAGGUGGGGACUCCACCCCAGGAGAGGCAAGCCAGGAAGACAAGGGGCGACCUCCAGGAAGCCCAGCAGACAAGCCAGGAUGACCUCCCUCAGCACCCACUUGCAGAGCAGAGGUGUCACCCUCAAAAAAAGAGAGUCCCCACCCUCAGUUCCAGUGCAAGGGUACAGGGUUUGCCCAGGGGAAAGGUGGCCCAUAAAGAUGAAGACCUCCACAGCUUCAGCUGAGGAGCCUGACUUUCUCUGGGACAGAGCCCGGAGAACUGCAUGCCAAAGGGUGCUGUCAGAAGCAAUGGAGAUUUGGUGGAGGGCAGUGAAGGGGGCCAGUAGCCCCAUGAUGCAAGUAAAACAGCAGAGCACCCAGGAGUUUAACAGAACCCGGAAAAAGCCAGGGAGUGUCCUCCUUGGAUCACAGGCAAUUCUGGAGGUACUUAGGCUGCACCACUCAGGAGUAAUCAGAACAGGACGUGGGGCGGACCUCAAAGCAUCCCCAAGCCACAUACAAGCCCAUCCUCAUGGGGCAGAAGCUUAACAGGCACAAGGAGCUCAAACAUAACCUCUGAGCAAAAACUGAACAGCAAGCUACUCCAACCCAGUAACUGCUCCUAGGAAGCCAGGUUUGUAACUAAAAUCACACAUAUCUGGGAGCCUGGAAGACUGCAGGUCCAUGACAGAGACCUCUCUGGAGUGAUCAGAGAGGGAACUCAAGCUGCUAGUCCUUGGCUGAAUGUGGAGCCUGAAGUGUGACAGCCACCUACAAGUUAGACACACAUCCAACAGUAAAGGGUAAAAAAUCUAACUGGAGUUACCAUCAUGGCUCAAUGGAAACGAAUCUGACUAGCAUCCAUGAGGAUGCAGAUUUGAUCCCUGGCCUCGCUUAGUGGGUUAAGGAUCCAGCAAUGCUGUGAUGUAGGUCGCAGAUGUGGCUCGGAUCUGGUGUUGCUGUGGCUCUGGUGUAGGCCGGUAGCUGCAGCUCCGAUUCACCUCUAGCUUGGGAACCUCCAUAUGCUGUGGGUGCGGCCCUAAAAAAAAAAAAGACAAAAAG